GGCUUAGUUAGAUUGGAUUUAUAUACAUGUUUAGGAUCGUAUAGCGUUUAUCCAUCGGAUCCUUGGGUAAAUGAUAGAUAUUGUGUAGGCGUGGUGCUUAUACCGUAUUUAUCUGCGAUUGUACCCAAUAUGCCAGAUCGUGGGGUAGUUCGUGAUAGUGACAGCUUCAUUAAUUCUUAUUAAGUCCCCCUCUCGUGUAUUGGGCUGGC
rnacentral:lncRNA from 1 species